AGAGUUUGAUCCUGGCUCAGGAUGAACGCUAGCUACAGGCUUAACACAUGCAAGUCGAGGGGAAACGACAUCGAAAGCUUGCUUUUGAUGGGCGUCGACCGGCGCACGGGUGAGUAACGCGUAUCCAACCUGCCCACCACUUGGGGAUAACCUUGCGAAGGUAAGACUAAUACCCAAUGACGUCUCUAGAAGACAUCUGAAAGAGAUUAAAGAUUUAUCGGUGAUGGAUGGGGAUGCGUCUGAUUAGCUUGUUGGCGGGGUAACGGCCACAAGGCGACGAUCAGUAGGGGUUCUGAGAGGAACGGUCCCCCANAUUGGAACUGAGACACGGUCCAAACUCCGUACGGGAGGCA
rnacentral:rRNA from 1 species